UCUGUGGGGACACGUAAGGAGAGCGGGAGCCGGGAAUGGAAAGCCCGGUACAAGCGAGGUACCAGUAUGGUAGGAAAAUCCGCCAUGCAAUGGGAAGACGUGAUGUGGAGUGAAAUAUAGUAACGAAGCCCGUGAGCCAUGCGUCAAGAAAAGCCGCUAUUGUUCAUAUUGUACCCGUACCGUAAACCGACACAGGUGGAUGAGGAGAGAAUCCUAAGGCCGGCGGAAGAAGUAUUGCCAAGGAACUCGGCAAAAUGGCCCCGUAACUUAGGGAGAAGGGGUGCCUGCGAGAGCAGGCCGCAGAGAAUAGGCUCAAGCAACUGUUUAGCAAAAACACAGGUCUAUGCGAAACCGAAAGGUGAGGUAUAUGGGCUGACGCCUGCCCGGUGCUGGAAGGUUAAGAGGAGAGGUUAGACGUAAGUCGAAGCUUUGAAUUUAAGCCCCAGUAAACGCCGGCCGUAACGAUAACGGUCCUAAGGUAGCGAAAUUCCUUGUCGGGUAAGUUCCGACCCGCACGAAAGGCGUAAUGAUUUGAGCGCUGUCUCGGCAAUACAUCCGGUGAAAUUGAUGUGCCAGUGAAGAUGCUGGCUACCCGCGCCAGGACGGAAAGACCCCAUGGAGCUUUACUCCAGUUUGGCACUGGGGUCCGGUGUUGCAUGUACAGGAUAGGUGGGAGGCUGAGAAACGGUAGCGUCAGUUGCCGCGGAGCCGCUGUUGGGAUACCACCCUUGUGAUAUUGGGCUUCUAACCAGCCGCCGUAAUCCGGCGGUGGGACAAUGCCAGGCGGGGAGUUUGACUGGGGCGGUCGCCUCCGAAAGGGUAUCGGAGGCGCCCAAAGGUUCCCUCAGAAUGGACGGAAGCCAUUCGAAGAGUGCAAAGGCAGAAGGGAGCUUGACCGCGACACCGACGGGUGGAGCAGGUACGAAAGUAGGGCUUAGUGAUCCGGUGGUAUUAAGUGGGAAUGCCAUCGCUCAACGGAUAAAAGCUACCCUGGGAUAACAGGCUUAUCACUCCCAAGAGUUCACAUCGACGGAGUGGUUUGGCACCUCGAUGUCGGCUCAUCGCAUCCUGGGGCUGUAGUAGGUCCCAAGGGUUGGGCUGUUCGCCCAUUAAAGCGGUACGCGAGCUGGGUUCAGAACGUCGUGAGACAGUUCGGUCCCUAUCCGGCGUGGGCGUAGGAUAUCUGAGAGGAGCUGUCCUUAGUACGAGAGGACCGGGAUGGACGGACCGCUGGUGGACCGGUUGGCUUGCCAAAGCCAUGGCCGGGUAGCCAAGUCCGGAAGGGAUAAACGCUGGAGGCAUCUAAGCGUGAAGCCCCCCUCAAGAUGAGAUAUCCCAUUCUUAGUGAAGUAAACCCCCUUGAAGACGACGAGGUAGAUAGGGCAGAGGUGGAAGUGUGGUAACACAUGGAGCUGACUGUUACUAAUCGGGUGAGGGCUUGAC
rnacentral:rRNA from 1 species